ACGCUUGAAGUCAGUCGCGUUGGCUGGGGAUCAACCUUGCAUUUGUGGGGCGUAUUUCCCAGUUUGACGGGUCAGCAUCAAUUUUGAUCGUUGGAUAAAGGUUAGGGGAAUGUGGCAUCUUCGGAUGUGUUAUAGCCCCUGGUCACAUACAACGGUUGGGAUUGAGGAACUCAGCACGCCGCAAGGCCGGGGUUUACCCACGUUCGUGCUUAGGAUGCUGGCAUAAUGGCUUUAAUCGACCCGUCUUGAAACACGGACCAAGGAGUC
rnacentral:rRNA from 1 species